rnacentral:rRNA from 1 species
UAUGUGAUCGUCUCUCGCAUAUCAAUAAGCGGAGGAAAAGAAACUAACAAGGAUUCCCCUAGUAACGGCGAGUGAAGCGGGAAGAGCUCAAAUUUGAAAUCUUAAAGGGUUUCCCUUUACGAAUUGUAGUUUAAAGAAGUGUUUUCUGUUGAGGUUUUGGUAAAAGUUCUUUGGAAUAGGACAUCAUAGAGGGUGAGAAUCCCGUAUUUGACCUUUACUUUCAACUUUGUGAUACACUUUCAAAGAGUCGGAUUGUUUGGGAAUGCAGUCCAAAAUGGGUGGUAAAUUUCAUCUAAAGCUAAAUAUUGGCGAGAGACCGAUAGCGAACAAGUACCGUGAGGGAAAGAUGAAAAGAACUUUGAAAAGAGAGUUAAACAGUACGUGAAAUUGUCAAAAGGGAAGCGUUUGACACCAGUGUUGCUUUUCUGAAAAUCAAUUAAAGAACUGUUUAUGCUAAGCUGUUUAGACUUUAUCAGCUAACUGUUUAGUUUUGAGCUUUUCUUUAAUGCACUUUUCAGUUAACAAGUCAACAUCAAUUUCUUUUGCUGUAAAAAAGCUUGAGGAAGGUGGCUUGAGAUUCGUCUUAAGUGUUUAUAGCCUCUUGCCUAUGCAGUCGGAGAGAUUGAGGUCUGCAGCGUAGAUCCUUCGGGGCUAAAUGCAUUUGUGCUAAGUUAUAGCAUUUUAUAGACAACUUGUUGACUAUGAUUUGUCUUGUAGGCUUACUCGCUUAUGUUAUUUUACCUACGCUUAGGAUGUUGAGUAGCGACAUACGCAC